rfam:Bombyx mori DNA, contig: Bm_scaf12_contig9538, strain: p50T/Dazao, build 2, whole genome shotgun sequence.
UUAACUCAAAUUUGUAUGGAGUUGAAACGUUUGCUGUUAGGGGCGCUGUUCCAACUACAUUCAAAUUUGAGUUA